rnacentral:rRNA from 1 species
GUGGGUCGCCCUGCUUAUAUUGAGAGGGGUCGGUCGCGCCGUGACACCUUUUGUGGCUACUGCUCUCGGCCAGGUCACCCAGAGUCUGAUUGUCGUGAGAAGAAGCGAGACCAGCGGCGCUCCUCUUGCAGUGGGACUCCUGGAUCUUCCUCGACUUCGUCACCCACUGACCAGGAUAUUGUGAGGCUCAAACGUCUCUUGGCUUCCUUAGGCUCUUCGUCGACUGGUUCAGCUGUUGUUUUGUCUGCAUCCACUUCUCCACCACCGCAGGCAUCUACACAGUCAGGUACAUCUUCGUGGGUUUUGGAUUCUGGAGCCCAGGGGCGGAUCUACACCCCAGGCCCCCAGGGCCCAGGCUGGGGCGUGACUUUUUUUCUUAGCUAUUACUAUGCUAUGUUUUUCACAUGGGCCCGGGGCCUAGCCCAAGAACAUAGCCAAGGCCGAGACGCAGGAGCGAAGGGGCCACGACCUAGGCACCAGUUCGCUCGUACGUGA